UGGACCUGCCCCCAUCACCAGGCCAGCUUCCCACCUGCACGUGCAGCUCUUUCUUCUUUUGCAGGAGGCUGGCUCUGCUCAUUAGACAUGCAACAAAGAGCUGGCCUGUGGAGCACACAUCCAUAUUCAUAACUCAAGUCAGCUGGAAAGUUGUACAUUUUUCUUUCUGGGAAGUCAUGGCGACAAAGACUGAAGACCCAGGCAGCACAAAUGUGAAUGAUGGGUGAGUCCUUCUGCUUAAAAACCUUUCAAAGGCCUCAUCUUUUAUAAAGUAUAAAUUUCUUUUAUCUUAUUAUGUAAGGAACUGAGUUAUCUUGCUCCUGCUUAAUUCUGAUUCUUUUUCUUUAUAUUUUCUUAGAUGAAUUUUGAACA
rnacentral:lncRNA from 1 species